rnacentral:piRNA from 1 species
UGCAAAGCCAAAAUAAGCACAGCCAAGAC